AGAGUUUGAUCCUGGCUCAGGACGAACGCUGGCGGCGUGCCUAACACAUGCAAGUCGAACGAGGUCCAUCCGGUAGCAAUACUGGUGAAGACCAAGUGGCGAACGGGUGAGUAGCACGUGAGCAACCUGCCCCGAAGACCGGGACAACACCGGGAAACCGGUGCUAAUACCGGAUAUCCCCACCGAAUCGCAUGUUUUGGUGAGGAAAUGGAUUCCGCUUCGGGAGGGGCUCGCGGCCUAUCAGCUUGUUGGUGAGGUAACGGCUCACCAAGGCGUCGACGGGUAGCUGGUCUGAGAGGACGAUCAGCCACACUGGGACUGAGACACGGCCCAGACUCCUACGGGAGGCAGCAGUGGGGAAUCUUGCACAAUGGGCGAAAGCCUGAUGCAGCAACGCCGCGUGAGGGACGAAGGCUUUCUGAGUUGUAAACCUCUUUCAGCAGGGACGAUAAUGACGGUACCUGCAGAAGAAGCCCCGGCCAACUACGUGCCAGCAGCCGCGGUAAUACGUAGGGGGCAAGCGUUGUCCGGAUUUAUUGGGCGUAAAGAGCUCGUAGGCGGCUUGGCAAGUCGGAUGUGAAACCUCCAGGCUCAACCUGGAGCCGCCAUUCGAUACUGCCAUGGCUAGAGUUUGGUAGGGGACCACGGAAUUCCUGGUGUAGCGGUGAAAUGCGCAGAUAUCAGGAGGAACACCAGCGGCGAAGGCGGUGGUCUGGGCCAAUACUGACGCUGAGGAGCGAAAGCGUGGGGAGCGAACAGGAUUAGAUACCCUGGUAGUCCACGCCGUAAACGUUGGGCACUAGGUGUGGGGACCUAUCGACGGUUUCUGUGCCGCAGCUAACGCAUUAAGUGCCCCGCCUGGGGAGUACGGCCGCAAGGCUAAAACUCAAAGGAAUUGACGG
rnacentral:rRNA from 1 species